rnacentral:rRNA from 1 species
AGAGUUUGAUCAUGGCUCAGAUUGAACGCUGGCGGCAUGCCUUACACAUGCAAGUCGAACGGCAGCGCGGGGCAACCUGGCGGCGAGUGGCGAACGGGUGAGUAAUAUAUCGGAACGUACCCUGGAGUGGGGGAUAACGUAGCGAAAGUUACGCUAAUACCGCAUACGAUCUAAGGAUGAAAGUGGGGGAUCGCAAGACCUCAUGCUCCUGGAGCGGCCGAUAUCUGAUUAGCUAGUUGGUAGGGUAAAAGCCUACCAAGGCAUCGAUCAGUAGCUGGUCUGAGAGGACGACCAGCCACACUGGAACUGAGACACGGUCCAGACUCCUACGGGAGGCAGCAGUGGGGAAUUUUGGACAAUGGGCGCAAGCCUGAUCCAGCAAUGCCGCGUGAGUGAAGAAGGCCUUCGGGUUGUAAAGCUCUUUUGUCAGGGAAGAAACGGGUCUUUCUAAUACAGAGGCCUAAUGACGGUACCUGAAGAAUAAGCUCCGGCUAACUCCG